GACGAACGCUGGCGGCGUGCUUAACACAUGCAAGUCGAACGCUGAAGCUCAGCUUUUGUUGGGUGGAUGAGUGGCGAACGGGUGAGUAACACGUGAGUAACCUGCCCCCUUCUUUGGGAUAACGCCCGGAAACGGGUGCUAAUACUGGAUAUUCACUGGUCUUCGCAUGGGGGUUGGUGGAAAGGGUUUUUCUGGUGGGGGAUGGGCUCGCGGCCUAUCAGCUUGUUGGUGGGGUGAUGGCCUACCAAGGCUUUGACGGGUAGCCGGCCUGAGAGGGUGACCGGUCACAUUGGGACGGAGAUACGGCCCAGACUCCUACGGGAGGCAGCAGUGGGGAAUAUUGCACAAUGGGCGCAAGCCUGAUGCAGCGACGCCGCGUGAGGGAUGGAGGCCUUCGGGUUGUGAACCUCUUUCGCUCAUGGUCAAGCCGCAACAAUGGUUGUGGUGAGGGUAGUGGGUAAAGAGGCGCCGGCUAACUACGUG
rnacentral:rRNA from 1 species